rnacentral:rRNA from 1 species
CCCUUAGAUGUUCUGGGCCGCACGCGCGCUACACUGACGGAGGCAGCGAGCGUGUCCUUCGCCGGCAGGUGCGGGCAAUCUUGCGAGUCUCCGUCGUGCUGGGGAUAGAUGGUUGCAAUUGUCGAUCUUGAACGAGGAAUUCCUAGUAAGCGCGAGUCAUCAGCUCGCGCUGAUUACGUCCCUGUCCUUUGUACACACCGCCCGUCGCUACUACAGAGUGCCCGUGUCCAAGAAACGGUCGGACCUGUGCGGCCUCUCCGGGCGACCGGAGGGCCGUUACGGGGAAGACCCUUUAUUUGACGCGGGUCGAUGAAGUAAAAGUCGUAACA